rnacentral:rRNA from 1 species
GCUAAGGCCGUGACAGCGGCGGGGGUAAGACGGGCCAAACGAACGGUAUGCGGAAGUACUGGGCUUAAAGGGUGCGUAGGCUGUGCAGAAAGGUGGGGGUGAAAUCCCUCGGCUUAACCGAGGAAUUGCGCCCAAAACUACUGUGCUUGAGGAAGACAGAGGUAAGCGGAACUUAGGGUGGAGCGGUGAAAUGCGUUGAUAUCCUAAGGAACACCGGUGGCGAAAGCGGCUUACUGGGUCUUUUCUGACGCUGAGGCACGAAAGCUAGGGUAGCGAACGGGAUUAGAUACCCUGGUAGUC